rnacentral:rRNA from 1 species
UGGGGAAUUUUGGACAAUGGGGGCAACCCUGAUCCAGCAAUGCCGCGUGUGUGAAGAAGGCCUUCGGGUUGUAAAGCACUUUUGUCCGGGAAGAAAUCGCACCUGAUAAUACCGGGUGUGGAUGACGGUACCGGAAGAAUAAGGACCGGCUAACUACGUGCCAGCAGCCGCGGUAAUACGUAGGGUCCAAGCGUUAAUCGGAAUGAAUGGGCGUAAAGCGUGCGCAGGCGGUUGUGCAAGACCGAUGUGAAAUCCCCGGGCUUAACCUGGGAAUUGCAUUGGUGACUGCACGGCUAGAGUGUGUCAGAGGGGGGUAGAAUUCCACGUGUAGCAGUGAAAUGCGUAGAGAUGUGGAGGAAUACCGAUGGCGAAGGCAGCCCCCUGGGAUAACACUGACGCUCAUGCACGAAAGCGUGGGGAGCAAACAGG